rnacentral:rRNA from 1 species
GUGGGGAAUAUUGGACAAUGGGCGAAAGCCUGAUCCAGCCAUGCCGCGUGUGUGAAGAAGGUCUUCGGAUUGUAAAGCACUUUAAGUUGGGAGGAAGGGCAGUAAGUUAAUACCUUGCUGUUUUGACGUUACCGACAGAAUAAGCACCGGCUAACUUCGUGUCAGCAGCCGCGGUAAUACGAAGGGUGCAAGCGUUAAUCGGAAUUACUGGGCGUAAAGCGCGCGUAGGUGGUUUUGUAAGUUGGAGGUGAAAUCCCCGGGCUCAACCUGGGAACUGCCUCCAAAACUGCAUGACUAGAGUACGGUAGAGGGUAGUGGAAUUUCCUGUGUAGCGGUGAAAUGCGUAGAUAUAGGAAGGAACACCAGUGGCGAAGGCGACUACCUGGACUGAUACUGACACUGAGGUGCGAAAGCGUGGGGAGCAAACAGGAUUAGAAACCCUAGUAGUCC